UGCCCCUGCAGACCUGCUGGUCGGUCUCCAGGGCCCCAGCACGUCUUCCCUUCAGUUGGUCCCACUUAUCUCCACUAGGCUAGUUUCUCAUAAAAUGCUCAUCAACCUCAUUUCUCCCUUCUCAGUAGCUGGCCCCGUUACAGCAAUGCCAUCACAGACCUAGCUCUAAUGUAAAAUGCUAGCUUUCAUCCCGCCCACCUGUUUCUGAAAUGUGCUAGUAGAAUACCACAGCAGAGGCAAGCUUAGCUGUUAAAAUCUUUG
rnacentral:lncRNA from 1 species